GACGAACGCUGGCGGCGUGCUUAACACAUGCAAGUCGAACGGAAAGGCCCUGCUUUUGUGGGGUGCUCGAGUGGCGAACGGGUGAGUAACACGUGAGUAACCUGCCCUUGACUUUGGGAUAACUUCAGGAAACUGGGGCUAAUACCGGAUAGGAGCUCUUGCUGCAUGGUGGGGGUUGGUAAGUUUCGGCGGUUGUGGAUGGACUCGCGGCUUAUCAGCUUGUUGGUGGGGUAGUGGCUUACAAAGGCUUUGACGGGUAGCCGGCCUGAGAGGGUGACCGGCCACAAGGCUACUGCGGGACGGCGCAGAAUCCAACCGGAGGCAGUGGGGGGGAAUAUGACGCAAUGAGCGGAAGCCAGAUGCGACAACGCCGGGUGCGGGAUGACGUGUUACGAGUUAAGAACCGCUUUCGCCUGAGACGAAGAGGGAGUGACGGUAAUGAGUAAAGAAGCACCGGCUAACUACGUG
rnacentral:rRNA from 1 species